GACGAACGCUGGCGGCGUGCCUAAUACAUGCAAGUAGAACGCACAGUUUAUACCGUAGCUUGCUACACCAUAGACUGUGAGUUGCGAACGGGUGAGUAACGCGUAGGUAACCUGCCUGGUAGCGGGGGAUAACUAUUGGAAACGAUAGCUAAUACCGCAUAAUAUUCAUUAUUGCAUGAUAAUUAAUUGAAAGGUGCAAUUGCACCACUACCAGAUGGACCUGCGUUGUAUUAGCUAGUAGGUGAGGUAACGGCUCACCUAGGCGAGGAUACAUAGCCGACCUGAGAGGGUGAUCGGCCACACUGGGACUGAGACACGGCCCAGACGCCUACGGGAGGCAGCAGUAGGGAAUCUUCGGCAAGGGACGAAAGUCUGACCGAGCAACGCCGCGUGAGUGAAGAAGGGUUUCGGAUCGUAAAGCUCUGUUGUAAGAGAAGAACGGGUGUGAGAGUGGAAAGUUCACACUGUGACGGUAUCUUACCAGAAAGGGACGGCUAACUACGUG
rnacentral:rRNA from 1 species